UACGGGGGGGGCUAGCGUUGUUCGGAAUUACUGGGCGUAAAGGGCUCGUAGGCGGCCAACUAAGUCAGACGUGAAAUCCCUCGGCUUAACCGGGGAACUGCAUCUGAUACUGGAUGGCUUGAGAUUGGGAGAGGGAUGCGGAAUUCCAGGUGUAGCGGUGAAAUGCGUAGAUAUCUGGAGGAACACCGGUGGCGAAGGCGGCAUCCUGGACCAACACUGACGCUGAGGAGCGAAAGCCAGGGGAGCAAACGGG
rnacentral:rRNA from 1 species